GAAUCUUUUCACAAAAGACUUUAUCCGACAAUUCAUCAUCUGUCAAUUGUGGAUUUGAAUGC
rfam:Ectromelia virus strain Moscow, complete genome.